rnacentral:rRNA from 1 species
AACCCGGAGAUAGCUGGUUCUCCCCGAAAUAGCUUUAGGGCUAGCGUCGGAUAUGUGUAGUGGAGGUAGAGCACUGAAUGGGCUAGGGGGCAUAUCGCUUACCGAACCUUAUCAAACUCCGAAUGCCAUAUACAUUUAGUCCGGCAGUCAGACUACGAAUGAUAAGAUCCGUGGUCAAAAGGGAAACAGCCCAGAUCGUCAGCUAAGGUCCCAAAGUGUAAGUUAAGUGGAAAAGGAUGUGGGAUCUCCAAGACAACUAGGAUGUUGGCUCAG